GACGUAGGAGGCGAGCGUUGUCCGGAGUUACUGGGCGUAAAGCGCGCGCAGGCGGCCCUGUGCGCUGCCGGUGAAAGCUCCCGGCUUACCUGGGAGAGGGUCGGCAGGACGGCAGGGCUGGAGGGUGGGAGAGGUCGGUGGAAUUCCCGGUGUAGUGGUGAAAUGCGUAGAGAUCGGGAGGAACACCCGUAGCGAAGGCGGCCGACUGGACCACACCUGACGCUGAGGCGCGAAGGCCAGGGGAGCGAACGGG
rnacentral:rRNA from 1 species